rnacentral:rRNA from 1 species
AUUGAACGCUGGCGGCAGGCCUAACACAUGCAAGUCGAGCGGAUGAAGGGAGCUUGCUCCUGGAUUCAGCGGCGGACGGGUGAGUAAUGCCUAGGAAUCUGCCUGGUAGUGGGGGAUAACGUCCGGAAACGGGCGCUAAUACCGCAUACGACCUGAGGGAGAAAGUGGGGGAUCUUCGGACCUCACGCUAUCAGAUGAGCCUAGGUCGGAUUAGCUAGUUGGUGGGGUAAAGGCCUACCAAGGCGACGAGCCGUAACUGGUCUGAGAGGAUGAACAGCCACCCUGGAACUGAGACCCGGCCCAGCCUCCUCCGGGAGGCAGCGGUGGGGAAUAUUGGACAUUGGGCGAAGUCCUGAUCCAGCACUGCCGCGUGGUUGAAGAAGGUCUUCGGAUUGUAAAGCCCUUUAUGUUGGGAGGACGGGUAGUAAGUUAAUACCUUGCUGUUUUGACGUUACCAACAGAAUAAGCACCGGCUAACUUCGUG